GAUGAACGCUGACAGAAUGCUUAACACAUGCAAGUCAACUUGAACUUCGGUUUGGGUGGCGGACGGGUGAGUAACGCGUAAAGAACUUGCCUCACAGCUAGGGACAACAUUUGGAAACGAAUGCUAAUACCUGAUAUUAUGAUUAUAUGGCAUCGUAUAAUUAUGAAAGCUAUAUGCGCUGUGAGAGAGCUUUGCAUCCCAUUAGCUAGUUGGAGAGGUAACAGCUCACCAAGGCGAUGAUGGGUAGCCGGCCUGAGAGGGUGAUCGGCCACAAGGGGACUGAGACACGGCCCUUACUCCUACGGGAGGCAGCAGUGGGGAAUAUUGGACAAUGGACCGAGAGUCUGAUCCAGCAAUUCUGUGUGCACGAUGAAGUUUUUCGGAAUGUAAAGUGCUUUCAGUUGGGAAGAAAAAAAUGACGGUACCAACAGAAGAAGUGACGGCUAAAUACGUG
rnacentral:rRNA from 1 species